ensembl:scaRNA
CGGCUCGGUUUCCUGGGGGGUGGGCCCAGCCUGCCCCACCUCCCCUCAGACGAGCCUAGAGCGCAGAGGCCGGUCUCCCUGCUAGUGGGAGAGGCGGUGAAGACCGCAGCCUCUCCUGGGCUGUCCUGCCUCACAUUC